rnacentral:rRNA from 1 species
AGGAUGAACGCUGGCGGCGUGCUUAACACAUGCAAGUCGAACGAUGAAGGCUGGAGCUUGCUCUGGCUGGAUUAGUGGCGAACGGGUGAGUAACACGUGAGUAACCUGCCCCAGACUCUGGGAUAAGCGCUGGAAACGGCGUCUAAUACCGGAUACGAGCUUCCACCGCAUGGUGAGGAGCUGGAAAGAAUUUCGGUCUGGGAUGGACUCGCGGCCUAUCAGCUUGUUGGUGAGGUAAUGGCUCACCAAGGCGACGACGGGUAGCCGGCCUGAGAGGGUGACCGGCCACACGUGGGACUGAGACA